GUGAGAAAUUUUCCGCAAUGGGCGAAAGCCUGACGGAGCAAUGCCGCGUGAAGGAUGAAGGCCUAUGGGUUGUAAACUUCUUUUCUCAGAAAAGAAUUAUGACGGUAUCUGAGGAAUAAGCAUCGGCUAACUCUGUGCCAGCAGCCGCGGUAAGACAGAGGAUGCAAGCGUUAUCCGGAAUGAUUGGGCGUAAAGCGUCUGUAGGUUGUUUAAAAAGUAUUCUGUCAAAGAUUAGGGCUUAACCCUAGAUAGGCAGAAUAAACUUUUAAGCUAGAGUUUGGUAGAGGCAGAGGGAAUUCCCGGUGGAGCGGUGAAAUGCGUAGAUAUCGGGAGGAACACCAAAGGCGAAGGCACUCUGCUGGGCCAAUACUAACACUGAGAGACGAAAGCGAGGGGAGCAAAUGGGAUUAGAUACCCGAGUAGUCC
rnacentral:rRNA from 1 species